CUUAAAUGAUGGAAUUGUUGCCAUUUCAAAUGAUCGUUUGAGAAUUUUAAAUUAAAUCAUUUCAACUCUUUUUUCUUGUCUCUCUCUCUCUCUCUCUUCAUCUCUUUUCAUCUAUAAUAUGGAUCCACCUUCAUCUUUUAUUAUCUUCAUCAUCAUCAUCAACUUUCAUUCCAAAUCUCACCAAAUCAACUUCAAUUGUUCCUUCAGGCUUCAUCAAUGGUCCGUGAUUCCAUCCCUCUUUUAAUCUGCUACUGUACCUUUUGCCCAGUCAAGUCUUUUUCUGGAGAUUCCGAUAACAACUGAAUUAUUUUCCUUCUCAUUAACUUACCAUCAUCAUAAUCACCAUCAUUUCAAAUGAUCGGUUUAAUUAACCUGUUUUCUUCUUAAUUUUCGUCCAAUCUUCUUUUUCUAUUCUUUUCUCAAUUUGUAUAAUGUGUAAACAUUUUACUCUUCAAUCGAAUCAAUUUCUCCCCUGUAACUUGAAUUUCAUGAUUCGAGUUUUGAAUCUACGAAUCAACCCGCCGAUAUAAUUCCCACCAUUCUAAUUAAAUCAGUAUGCAUGUACUACUUUCAUUUCCUUGCUCAUUUGGUGCUCGGUUGGAUGGUCAUUUUCACAACAAUCAGUUUGGACAAUCAACAUGAAAAAUUUUUUCCUACUAAUUUGAAAUUAGUAAUUUCAAUAUCUGAAAAAAAAGUUAAACCAGGACAGCGGUCAAUUGGUAAACGAUUAAGUUGAUUACAUGUAUUUGUUAUCAUCUCCUCGUCACUCAAUUAAAUUGGAAGUGUGUUCAUAUCAAUUGGUAGUUUCAAUUGUUGGUGAUUCAAUUUUGAACAAUCAAAAUCAAAAUCAAUACAAAAUCUAUUUUUGAAUAAUUCGCAAAUGGAAAUCACUACACAGAGUAAAUUAUAUCUUAUCAAAUUCAAUAUACACCAAAGCUGAACCUCGGUAAGAUUAAAUUAUAACCAUAAUCAUGGAUUAGCUGAUUUAUUGGACAAUCAUCAUUUCGAGUACAAUUAGUUUGUUUCGGAUAAAGUUGGUUGAUAUGUGAUUCUGCAAACGCCUUAAAGAAAAUGUCAUUAACUUUUGCUGCUAAUUGUGGAAUCAGAAUAAUGGAAGCCGCCAACUGAUGAUUGAAAAAAGUGUUCAUCUUAAUCAUCUUACUGAUUACAAUUCAAAUUGUUACUUGACCCGAGGAAUUCAGGGAACCAACGAUUAUAUUUCUCAUCUUUAAACUUGAAAUUUUGUUAAUUCUUUUUAAAUCUUUUCAAUUUGAUUCCUUUAUCUUUGAAUAAUUGAGUUAUCCUCUAAUUGUUAAUCAUUGGAUUUACUUGAAACUUGAGAAUUUACUGUUCACGGAUUGAAAACAUGAAGAAGAAAAAACAAUUAAUCAAUUGGUUGGUUAAUUUUAACAAUCUUUUAAUUCAAUGGGUAAAUACACACUUUGUUUUUCCAUGCACAUACAAAUCCAUACAUAUUUUUAUGUGGAAUCAUAAUUGUGGUUUUCUUUUAAAUGAAAGAAAUUAAUUACAAUUAACACCGAUAAUAACAAUGAGAGCAAUUGUUUGUCCCUCAUGUUAAAACAAUAAACGAUUCACUUUUCAAUGGA